UAAUGAAUGAAGCAUGAUAAUAUGCACAAAAAUUGAAUUGGGUCUCUAGGUCUAACCUCUCUGAUGCCAUUUGGCUUUGAUGGGGACAUGGUUUCAGCGGUAUUC